rnacentral:rRNA from 1 species
AGCGUAGACGGACUGGCAAGUCUGAUGUGAAAGGCGGGGGGCUCAACCCCCUGGACUGCAUUGGAAACUGUUAGUCUUGAGUGCCGGAGAGGUAAGCGGAAUUCCUAGUGUAGCGGUGAAAUGCGUAGAUAUUAGGAGGAACACCAGUGGCGAAGGCGGCUUACUGGACGGUAACUGACGUUGAGGCUCGAAAGCGUGGGGAGGCAAAACA